AAUCAACGCUGGCGGCGUGCCUAACACAUGCAAGUCGAACGCGAAAGUCCCGCAAGGGAUUAGUAGAGUGGCAAACGGGUGAGUAACACGUGGGUGACCUGCCUUCGAGUGGGGGAUAACGUCCCGAAAGGGACGCUAAUACCGCAUAACAUCCUGCCUUUUAAGAGGUGGAGAUCAAAGCUGGGGACCGUAAGGCCUGGCGCUGGAAGAGGGGCCCGCGUCUGAUUAGCUAGUUGGUGAGGAACGGCUCACCAAGGCAACGAUCAGUAUCCGGCCUGAGAGGGCGGACGGACACACUGGGACUGAGACACGGCCCAGACUCCUACGGGAGGCAGCAGUGGGGAAUUGUUCGCAAUGGGCGCAAGCCUGACGACGCAACGCCGCGUGGAGGAUGAAGACC
rnacentral:rRNA from 1 species